GAAAUGCGAUAAGUAGUGUGAAUUGCAGAAUUCAGUGAAUCAUCGAAUCUUUGAACGCACAUUGCGCCCUUUGGUAUUCCAAAGGGCAUGCCUGUUCGAGCGUCAUUUGUACCCUCAAGCUCUGCUUGGUGUUGGGCGUCUUUGUCUUCCCAGAAGACUCGCCUUAAAGUCAUUGGCAGCCGGUCUACUGGUUUCGGAGCGCAGCACAAGUCGCGCUCUCUUCCAGCCAAGGUCAGCGUCCACAAAGCCUUUUUUUCAACUUUUGACCUCGGAUCAGGUAGGGAUACCCGCUGAACUUAAGC
rnacentral:misc_RNA from 1 species